GACGAACGCUGGCGGCGUGCCUAAUACAUGCAAGUCGAGCGAGCUUGCCUAGAUGAUUUUAGUGCUUGCACUAAAUGAAACUAGAUACAAGCGAGCGGCGGACGGGUGAGUAACACGUGGGUAACCUGCCCAAGAGACUGGGAUAACACCUGGAAACAGAUGCUAAUACCGGAUAACAACACUAGACGCAUGUCUAGAGUUUGAAAGAUGGUUCUGCUAUCACUCUUGGAUGGACCUGCGGUGCAUUAGCUAGUUGGUAAGGUAACGGCUUACCAAGGCAAUGAUGCAUAGCCGAGUUGAGAGACUGAUCGGCCACAUUGGGACUGAGACACGGCCCAAACUCCUACGGGAGGCAGCAGUAGGGAAUCUUCCACAAUGGACGAAAGUCUGAUGGAGCAACGCCGCGUGAAUGAAGAAGGGCUUCGGCUCGUAAAGCUCUGUUGGUAAUGAAGAAAGAUACAGGUAGUAACUGGCCUUUAUUUGACGGUAAUUACUUAGAAAGUCACGGCUAACUACGUGCCAGCAGCCGCGGUAAUACGUAUGUGGCAAGCGUUGUCCGGAUUUAUUGAGCGUAAAGCAAGUGCAAGCGGUUCAAUAAGUCUGAUGUGA
rnacentral:rRNA from 1 species